UGGGGAAUUUUGGACAAUGGGCGAAAGCCUGAUCCAGCAAUGCCGCGUGUGUGAAGAAGGCCUUCGGGUUGUAAAGCACUUUUGUCCGGAAAGAAAUCCUUGGCUCUAAUACAGUCGGGGGAUGACGGUACCGGAAGAAUAAGCACCGGCUAACUACGUGCCAGCAGCCGCGGUAAUACGUAGGGUGCAAGCGUUAAUCGGAAUUACUGGGCGUAAAGCGUGCGCAGGCGGUUUGCUAAGACCGAUGUGAAAUCCCCGGGCUCAACCUGGGAACUGCAUUGGUGACUGGCAGGCUAGAGUAUGGCAGAGGGGGGUAGAAUUCCACGUGUAGCAGUGAAAUGCGUAGAGAUGUGGAGGAAUACCGAUGGCGAAGGCAGCCCCCUGGGCCAAUACUGACGCUCAUGCACGGAAGCGUGGGGAGCAAACAGGAUUAGAUACCCUGGUAGUCCACGCCCUAAACGAUGUCAACUAGUUGUUGGGGAUUCAUUUCCUUAGUAACGUAGCUAACGCGUGAAGUUGACCGCCUGGGGAGUACGGUCGCAAGAUUAAAACUCAAAGGAAUUGACGGGGUCAUAGCUG
rnacentral:rRNA from 1 species